AACGCACCUUGCGCUCGUUGGUAUUCCGACGAGCAUGCCUGUUUGAGUGUCAUUAAAUUCUCAACCUCAUCGCUUUUGUGAUGAUGGCUUGGAAGUGGAGGUUUUCUGCAGGCUGAAAAGUCUGCUCCUCUCAAAUGAAUUAGUGGGUGCCCCGCGCAAACCUAUCUAUUGGUGUGAUAAUUAUCUACGCCGUGGAUCUUAGGAUUGCUGUAAAAAGGUGUUUGCCCUGCUUCUAACCGUCCUUUGGACAACUUGAACCAUUUGACCUCAAAUCAGGUAGGACUACCCGCUGAACUUAA
rnacentral:misc_RNA from 1 species